GACGAACGCUGGCGGCGUGCUUAACACAUGCAAGUCGAACGGAAAGGCCCUGCUUUUGUGGGGUGCUCGAUUGGCGAACGGGUGAGUAACACGUGAGUAACCUGCCCUUGACUUUGGGAUAACUUCAGGAAACUGGGGCUAAUACCGGAUAGGAGCUCCUGCUGCAUGGUGGUGGUUGGAAAGUUUCGGCGGUUGGGGAUGGACUCGCGGCUUAUCAGCUUGUUGGUGAGGUAGUGGCUUACCAAGGUUUUGACGGGUAGCCGGCCUGAGAGGGUUACCGGCCACAUUGGGACUGAGAGACGGCCCAGACUCCUACGGGAGGCAGCAGUGGGGAAUAUUGCACAAUGGGCGGAAGCCUGAUGCAGCAACGCCGCGUGCGGGAUGACGGCCUUCGGGUUGUAAACCGCUUUCGCAUGUGACGAAGCGUGAGUGACGGUAAUGGGUAAAGAAGCACCGGCUAACUACGUG
rnacentral:rRNA from 1 species